rnacentral:rRNA from 1 species
UACGUAGGGACCAAGCGUUGUUCGGAUUUACUGGGCGUAAAGGGCUCGUAGGCGGCUUAACAAGUCACUUGUGAAAUCUCCGGGCUUAACUCGGAACGGCCAAGUGAAACUGUCAAGCUAGAGUGCAGAAGGGGCAAUCGGAAUUCUUGGUGUAGCGGUGAAAUGCGUAGAUAUCAAGAGGAACACCUGAGGUGAAGACGGGUUGCUGGGCUGACACUGACGCUGAGGCGCGAAAGCCAGGGGAGCAAACGGG